AUACGGAGGGUGCAAGCGUUACUCGGAAUCACUGGGCGUAAAGCGCGCGCAGGCGGCUAUUUAAGUUGGAUGUGAAAGCCUACGGCUCAACCGUAGAACUGCAUCCAAAACUAUUUAGCUAGAGUGUGGGAGAGGAAGAUGGAAUUAGUUGUGUAGGGGUAAAAUCCGUAGAGAUAACUAGGAAUACCAAAAGCGAAGGCAAUCUUCUGGAACACUACUGACGCUGAGGUGCGAAAGCGUGGGGAGCAAACAGGAUUAGAAACCCUGGUAGUCC
rnacentral:rRNA from 1 species